UCUUACCUCAAUCUCAUUGUCUACAGUAGGGGAGGGGUCAUUGUUUCGUUUGGACCUUCCUCGUAACUUGACAUCAGAUCCUCUGUGCUGCCGGUCAGUUUCGGAAUCUUUCACCGGGGUGGAGGGAUCAUUUCUGGCAUGGAAAGAGGGAUUCUCCAUUAGAAUGACUUCUCGCAUCAUCCACUGGUUACUGAGGUCUCCAGCUCUGCAGGGACCAGUCUUCCUCAGGUUCAAAGUACAAUCAGCGCGGAGCUGAAGGAAUGAUUCUCCUAGAGCGAACCCCAGAGAUGUCUGGAGGAGGAUACCAAGGAGACAAGACACUGUUCUACCAAAGACUUCGAUCCCAAGUCUGAGAAGAUCCUCCUAGGAGACAAUGAUCUAUCCUCCAGCCAUUCUGAAUGGACCAGGUCUCUGGUCGUCUAAUCGGCCCCUUUCCCCUAAGAUACGGUUUGUUUUCCUUUGAGAUGCUGGAUUAGCUGGGGAAUGAACAGCUGAAUAAACGCUGGCAGCAGCCGGGGGUGAUCACUCGGGGACAGAUCCCCCGCAGCCAGGAGCCUCCACUGCCAAGCAUAGCCCCAGCUAAGGACACUGUCCAUGGGGGCAUCAGUAACGCUUCACCCCAGACAAUGCCUCUUAUAAAAGCCCUAUUGUCCCCCGGGCAAGUGAUAAUGUGCUUCUCUAUGGUUUUAUGAUGCUGGCAGGAACUGCACCGCUCUGGGCAAUUAACAGUACUUGUGCUUGGCAGGAGAAGUCAGCAGCGCAUCGAGUUAUAAAUCCGUCAUUCAACGCCAGCAAUACCGAGAU